rnacentral:rRNA from 1 species
UACGGGGGGUGCGAGCGUUGUCCGGAUUCACUGGGCGUAAAGGGCGCGUAGGCGGCCUGGUCAGUCGGACCUUUAAGAGCGGGGCUCACCCCCGUGGUGGGUUCGGGACGGCCGGGCUGGGGCGCGGCAGAGGGGGACGGAAUGCCGGGUGUAAUGGUGAAAUGCGUAGAGAUCCGGCGGAACACCGGUGGUGAAGACGGUCCCCUGGGCCGAGGCCGACGCUGAGGCGCGAGAGCGCGGGGAGCGAACCGG